GAUGAACGCUGGCGGCGUGCCUAAUACAUGCAAGUCGAGCGAACGGACGAGAAGCUUGCUUCUCUGAUGUUAGCGGCGGACGGGUGAGUAACACGUGGAUAACCUACCUAUAAGACUGGGAUAACUUCGGGAAACCGUAGCUAAUACCGGAUAAUAUUUUGAACCGCAUGGUUCAAAAGUGAAAGACGGUCUUGCUGUCACUUAUAGAUGGAUCCGCGCUGCAUUAGCUAGUUGGUAAGGUAACGGCUUACCAAGGCAACGAUGCAUAGCCGACCUGAGAGAGUGAUCGGCCACACUGGAACGGGGACACGGUCCAGACUCCUACGGGAGGCAGCAGUAGGGAAUCUUCCGCAAUGGGCGAAAGCCUGACGGAGCAACGCCGCGUGAGUGAUGAAGGUCUUCGGAGCGUAAAACUCUGUUAUUAGGGAAGAACAUAUGUGUAAGUAACUGUGCACAUCUUGACGGUACCUAAUCAGAAAGCCACGGCUAACUACGUG
rnacentral:rRNA from 1 species